rnacentral:rRNA from 1 species
UAGGGAAUAUUGCAAAAUGGGCGAAAGCCCGAUGCAGCAACGCCGCGUGAGCGAUGAAGGCCUUCGGGUCGUAAAGCCCUUUUUGAGGGGAUGAGGAAGGACAGUACACUCAGAAUAAGCCUCGGCUAACUACGUGCCAGCAGCCGCGGUAAAACGUAGGAGGCGAGCGUUAUCCGGAUUUACUGGGCGUAAAGCGCGUGCAGGCGGAUUGGAGAGUUGGAUGUGAAAGCUCCCGGCUUAACUGGGAGAGGUCGUUCAAUACUUCCAGUCUUGAGUGCAGUAGAGGGAAGUGGAAUUCCGUGUGUAGUGGUGAAAUGCGUAGAUAUCCGGAGGAACACCAGUGGCGAAAGCGGCUUCCUGGACUGUAACUGACGCUCAGACGCGAAAGCUAGGGUAGCAAACG